UUCGCAACCAACGGUCGAAAUCCGAACCCGUGCCGGCGCGCUCCCGGCGGCCCCGUCGGAGGCGCGACUGUCGAUGGGCGGAGUUAACCCCUGUGCCCAGCCUAUGUCCGCUGAUGUUGAUAACAUCAUCCAUCCGGCCAGUGAUUUGGUAAUAGCCUUCCUCUGAUCGGUAUGCACCAUCACCACUGAAGUAGUAGCCUGAAAAAGGAUGGGCGAGGAAAUGGGCAUAUUUGUGUGACACCGGAUAGAUUUCAACAUAAUCAGCCUUCUCAUUCUCUGAUGAUUCAGCCAAGAUUCACAGACACUUAUACAAGAGGAAGCUUGGAGACAAGCCUGUGCUUGAAUUUCAUUGUUAC